CCAAUUUUCAUAAUUUUCUGAGACUGUGCAUUUUCUGCUAAUUUAUCUGCCCUGUUUCCAACAAAAAAUUCUAAAUCUUCUGUUUUCCCUCCGAUUUCAGCACAGGUCAUUUCUAACUCAUAUUUCACUUCUCCAAAUCCAAUAAAAAUAGUAUCUCAUACUAUUUUUAUUUUUAUAUUUAAAUCCGGUAUAUUACAUUACACCGCAACCUUACCGGAACCAUUCAAAUGGCUCUCCAACCAAAUGGACACCGUAACCUCAU
rnacentral:lncRNA from 1 species